UACGAAGGGGGCUAGCGUUGUUCGGAAUUACUGGGCGUAAAGCGCACGUAGGCGGCUUUGUAAGUUAGAGGUGAAAGCCCGGGGCUCAACUCCGGAAUUGCCUUUAAGACUGCAUCGCUUGAAUCCAGGAGAGGUGAGUGGAAUUCCGAGUGUAGAGGUGAAAUUCGUAGAUAUUCGGAAGAACACCAGUGGCGAAGGCGGCUCACUGGACUGGUAUUGACGCUGAGGUGCGAAAGCGUGGGGAGCAAACAGG
rnacentral:rRNA from 1 species